CACACAUAAACUGUCAUUAUUUACUCAACCUCAAUUUUUUUCUAAAAAAUUUUUUGUGUGAUUUACAUAUUCUGGCCACUGAUUUUCAAUGAAAUACCGUUAACCUACAUCUGCUCUUUGAAGUUUGAUGAAACUCUCAUGGUGCUUUACAAACACACUUGAAAUUUUUCUGUGAAUUACAAACUGUGAAUAUUCAGGCCACUUUUUUUCAGUAAAAUACCAUUAACCUAAAUUUUUUAAUGUAGGCCUUGAUGAAACUCUCAUGGUGCUUUAAUUUCAAAAGCAGAUGCUGUUGAAAUUAAGCUGAUUACAAUAAGCCAGUUCACAUUUGAACACCCGUUACAUGACCAUGUUACACAAAUUAAUAUAGCAACAUAAAACUGACUAUUGUAACAUAAUGAAAUGAACCUUUUCACAAACAAUAUUGCAUAUUCCCACCCAGUUCGGCAUAUUUUUCCUCUGUGGGCAGUAUAACAUUCUUAAUGAAACCCCAGUAUUUUCCCCUUGAACCAAUUUAGAAACUUGACAUACAUCACGGAUAUAAUUUAGGUGUGAGCACAUGUGGCAUUAGUUUCCUGUUUUAAAACGUAUAUAAGGGUUAGAGUGCAGAAUGAGAUCAUUAUCUCUAGAAAGCAUCCUUGUGAACAAGAACAUGAAACUGCUAAUUCUUCUCGUCACACUGCUUGUUCAAACUAACCCUAGUUUGAGCAUGCCUACCCCAGACCUUGAACUGAUCUUCAGUGAAAUUCUGCAAAGCCUUGAAGAACUGAAAGCAGUUAGUCAGCAUGAUCUCAAGCCAUUUAAUCAUUCAGUACAAAUCCAAAUACCUCACGACAUCGAGAACGCAUGUGAGUGUGAGGCAGCAUUUGUUCAACACCUGAAAGCUGCUCUAAAGUCAGUUAAUGGAGUAUUACACGUGAAUGAAACUGAAGAUACCAAGGAUCUAAUUGAGAACAUUUUAGACAACCUAAACAGUCCUCAUGUGCAUAAUAAGAUCAAGAAGUCAAAUGGCAGCUGUACCUUCACAAAACAUGUGAUAAAACAUACAGCACUCUCAAAUGUCUUUAAGAAGAAUGCCGAAUUCAUCCAAAACUGGAAUUCACACUGCCGAAGAGAAACUAAACCGAAGAGAAACUAAACGGACGUCCUGUUAUGGAGAUGGGAAUAUUUAUUCAAAAAAUUUCACUGUAAUUAUUUAUUUAUUUAUUGGGCUAUUUAUUUAUUUAUCUUGAUUGUUAAAUGAUGUAAGCGACAAAGUGUAUCAAGUUUGAUCCUGGGAAGAAAAAAUACUAUACUUUAUUCUUUAAAGUUCUUACUUGUAUUGUAACAAUACAAAAAUCGUGUUAAAAUAUGGUCCAUGUUUUUUAUGCUGAAUGCAAUAAAAAGAAAAUUUUUUAAGCUAAA